rnacentral:rRNA from 1 species
GAUGAACGCUAGCGGGAGGCCUAACACAUGCAAGCCGAGCGGUAUUUGUUCUUCGGAACAGAGAGAGCGGCGCACGGGUGCGGAACACGUGUGCAACCUGCCUUUAUCUGGGGGAUAGCCUUUCGAAAGGAAGAUUAAUACCCCAUAAUAUAUUGAGUGGCAUCACUUGAUAUUGAAAACUCCGGUGGAUAGAGAUGGGCACGCGCAAGAUUAGAUAGUUGGUGAGGUAACGGCUCACCAAGUCAAUGAUCUUUAGGGGGCCUGAGAGGGUGAUCCCCCACACUGGUACUGAGACACGGACCAGACUCCUACGGGAGGCAGCAGUGAGGAAUAUUGGACAAUGGGUUAGCGCCUGAUCCAGCCAUCCCGCGUGAAGGACGACGGCCCUAUGGGUUGUAAACUUCUUUUGUAUAGGGAUAAACCUACCCUCGUGAGAGUAGCUGAAGGUACUAUACGAAUAAGCACCGGCUAACUCCGU